AGGAAGCAACCCGUCAGCCUCCCCUUCCUCCACUUGACUUGUUUGUAUGUUUGCAUAAUCUGUUUUCAGCAGUAAUUGUCCUAUAUGUGAAAAUAUGAAGCCUUAUUUUGACAGCUGGCAGUGUCUUUGAUAUUGGAAGAUGUCAUUUGGAAAAGAGGGAACGACAGCAGAUCGGAGGCAGCUGUUCGCCGCCGUGGUAGUCCAUUCCUCCUCCUACUAUGACAGGGUAGCCUGAAAGACUGAUGGGAGUUAGUCUUGUUGAACUGGCACAGUCUUCAGUACGCAAGGAGCCCAUCGCAACCUCAACCUAGAGCUCAAAUCCAAGCUUUGGCGACUGGACCAAAACAUCUAGAUGGUUAGGUGAGGGUGAAGAGGAUGGCUAAUCAUUUCUAGAAUGGACAGCUGGUGCGAAUCAAGGGGAAUAUGAAACAUCUUCCGCAUCUCUUGACUCACAUCUGGCCCCAACCCAGCGCCUUCUGAGUCUAGAAGACUUUACAUCUCACAGUUUCCUCUGCCGCCCCGCAGGCCUGCUUGGACAGCUCUGGCUUGCCGGCACAAAGGCCACGAAGCUGCAGAUCAACCAUUAAACUUUAUGAGGAGCAAGAAAAAAGUGGUUUGAUUAUAGUCUCCCGGAACCCGUGAAGCUUCCCCACAGCGUGAUGGAGAGGAAAGGUCCCCAUCUUGCAAAUCCACCCUGCUGUUGGCUUUAGCUGCCUGUGUCCUGGCGUAUUUCCGGCGAAUCAUUUUUUGUUCUUGGAAUCUACUUCAAUUGCUGUUGUGUUCGCCUUUCCAACUUCAUCACACAUUUAGCCCCUAGUCCUGCUGAAUUCUGCAGUCCAAGGCCUUCUAUGCUGCUAUGGUGCU